rnacentral:tRNA from 1 species
GGCUGUAGCUCAGUGGUAGAAUGCUUGCCUAGCAUGUGUGAGGCACUGGGUUCGAUUCUCAGCACCA